rnacentral:rRNA from 1 species
AUUGAACGCUGGCGGCAGGCCUAACACAUGCAAGUCGAGCGGGGUUUUCGGACCUAGCGGCGGACGGGUGAGUAAUGCGUAGGAAGCUACCCGAUAGAGGGGGAUACCAGUUGGAAACGACUGUUAAUACCGCAUAAUGUCUACGGACCAAAGUGUGGGACCUUCGGGCCACAUGCUAUCGGAUGCGCCUACGUGGGAUUAGCUAGUUGGUGAGGUAAUGGCUCACCAAGGCGACGAUCCCUAGCUGGUUUGAGAGGAUGAUCAGCCACACUGGAACUGAGACACGGUCCAGACUCCUACGGGAGGCAGCAGUGGGGAAUAUUGGACAAUGGGCGCAAGCCUGAUCCAGCCAUGCCGCGUGUGUGAAGAAGGCCUUCGGGUUGUAAAGCACUUUCAGUAGGGAGGAAGCGUUGUGUGUUAAUAGUACACAGCGUUGACGUUACCUACAGAAGGAGCACCGGCUAACUCCGUGCCAGCAGCCGCAGUAAAAC